rnacentral:tRNA from 1 species
GGGACGUUAGCUCAGUUGGUAGAGCAGCGGACUUUUAAUCCGUUGGUCGCAGGUUCGACCCCUGCACGUCCUACCA